rnacentral:rRNA from 1 species
UACGGAGGGUGCAAGCGUUGUCCGGAUUUAUUGGGUUUAAAGGGUGCGUAGGCGGUUCUUUAAGUCCGGGGUGAAAGCCCACUGCUCAACAGUGGAACUGCCCUGGAAACUGGAGAACUUGAGUACAGACGAGGUUGGCGGAAUGGAUGCUGUAGCGGUGAAAUGCAUAGAUAGCAUCCAGAACCCCGAUUGCGUAGGCAGCUGACUAGGCUGGUACUGACACUGAGGCACGAAAGCGUGGGGAGCGAACAGG